GUCCCUUUCCACACUGUGGAAGGUUUGUUCUUUUGCUCUUUGCAAUAACUCUUGCUGCUGCUCACUGUUUGGGUCCACAUUGCUUUUAUGAGCUGUAACACUCGCCGCGAAGGUCUACAGCUUCAGUCCUGAAGCCGGCGAGACCACCAACCCACCAGGAGGAACAAACAACUUCAGACGCGCUGCCUUAAGAGCUGUAACACUCACCGCGAAGGUCUGCAGCUUCACUCCUGAAGCCAGCGAGACCACGAACCCAUCAGGAGGAACGAACAACUCCAGACGCGCCGCCUUAAGAGCUGCAACACUCACCGCGAAGGUCCGUAGCUUCACUCCUGAGCCAGCGAGACCACGAACCCACCAAAAGGAAGAAACUCCGGACACAUCCUAACAUCAGAAGGAACAAACUCCGGACACGCCACCUUUAAGAACUGUAACACUCACCGCGAAGGUCCACGGCUUCAUUCUUUAAGUCAGUGAGACUGAGAACCCGCCAAUUCCGGACACACAGCUACAGCCAAGCCUCUUUGCUUCUCUGGGCCAGCCUCUCUGGAGCUGAAUCGUGGCUGGCUGGAUUUGAGGAGCCUGCAUGGGCGCACUCUCUCUUUCUGAAUCCCAGCUAGGGCUCUCCUGGCUGUAAUUACUAAGACUCAGCUGCUGGGAAUUUCCACGCCUCCUACCUCUCUACAGGGCAGUCCCUCCAUAUUAGGAAACCCACUGGCACGCUCCGCCGUUAUCUUCGCAAGACUUCCGUUGUUGCCUCAAGUUGCAGAUUGCCUUUUAACAGAGAAGAAAGUGACAGAAAGAUGUCUCUGCUGGCAGCGUGGGGGGCAGGCUGGCUUGGGGAUGCUGGAGGCUGGAGCUCUAAGUAGAGGAUGGUGUUAUCCAAGACCCGGAGGCAUCAGGACCUGCAAAAGUGCUGUCAAAACAGGAAAAUGCUGUGAACUUUAACAAAAUUGUCAAGUUCACCAACUUUUUUUUUUCUCUGUUAAAGAUCUUGCUUGCUUGACUGGUUUUUCCAAAUUCCCAGAGCUUCUCUGAAGUCAGUCAAUAUGGCAUUAUUGUCAUUUGGGGAACAGUAAACCUUUGAAAAAU
rnacentral:lncRNA from 1 species